ensembl:lncRNA
GCUGUGGUUUGGGAGCUGGGAUAUCGCUAUGUGGAAGCCCGUGGCACUUUGCUCUGGAUGCUGAACAGAGGAGGAAGAAGGGAAGAGAGCCUGGGCAGCUGGCUGGGAAAAGGCAGAGGGUGCUUUCCUGUCGCUGCCUGCUCUUGCUAAGCAUUGGGAGAAGAGGGAGAAUGUGGAAGGAGAGUGCACACCUGGGAGCUGCAUCCACUGGCUGACCAGAAAACAUUUAAUUUCCACCCUGGGCGUAGUCCAUGGCCAGCUUCCUUGUGGUGCGCUGUUUCUGUCUGCCUUUUGUCUGUGGCUGGUGGUGUCAGAGCCCGUAACUAUCUGUUUACAGUUUCAGACAGAAGCAUUAAUUGCCUUUUGAACCUCCCCUUUUCCCCUAAGACUCCCUGCUCAACUAUAUUAACUGUCUCGCUUGGUUUCUUUCUGCACAAAGAGAAAUGCCUGUCUCCCCUAAAACCUGACCACCUGCAAAUCCCCACCGUACUCUCUUAUGCAUAGGUGAUGCGAGAACAAACGUGUAGCCAGCACAUGUCUGCAUAGAGACAGGGUAUACAGGACAAGUUGU